rfam:Aspergillus clavatus NRRL 1 1099423829795 genomic scaffold, whole genome shotgun sequence.
GGGCUUGUGGUUUAGUGGUAUAAUACUUGCCUUGCAAGCAAGGGGUCCGGGGUUCGAUUCCCCGCGAGUCCA